CGGUAAAAAAGCUCGUAGUUGGAUUUCUGUUGAGGACGACCGGUCCAUACCACGUAUGCGCAUCUGGCUCGGCCUCGGCAUCCUCUCGAAAGACGUUUCUGCGCUUGAUUGCGUGGAGCGGAUUCCGGGACUUUUACUUUGAGGAAAUUAGAGUGUUCACGGCAGGCUAUCGCCAGAAUACAUUAGCAUGGAAUAAUACUAUAGGAUCUUGGUUCUAUUUUGUUGGUUUCUAGGACUAGGAUAAUGAUUAAUAGGGACAAUUGGGGGCAUUCGUAUCAACACGUCAGAGGUGGAAUUCUUGGAUUGUGUUGCGACGAACUACUGCGAAAGCAUUUGCCAAGGAUGUUUUCAUUGAUCAAGAACGAAAGUAAGGGGAUCGAAGAUGAUUAGAUACCGUCGUAGUCUUUACCAUAAACUAUGCCAACUAGAGAUGGGGCAUCGUUCUCUUACGACUUGCUCCGCACCUUAUGAGAUAUCAAAGUCUUUGGGUUCCGGGGGGAGUAUGGUCGCAAGUCUGAAACUUAAAGGAAUUGACGGAAGGGCACCACCAGGAGUGGAGCCUGCGGCUUAAUUUGACUCAACACGGGGAAAACUCACC
rnacentral:rRNA from 1 species